rnacentral:rRNA from 1 species
AUUGAACGCUAGCGGGAUGCUUUACACAUGCAAGUCGAACGGCAGCGCGGACUUCGGUCUGGCGGCUAGUGGCGAACGGGUGGGGAAUGUAUCGGAACGUGCCCAGUAGCGGGGGAUAAAUACGCGAAAGCGUAGCUAAUACCGCAUACGCCCUACGGGGGGAAGGAGGGGAUGGUAAGGCCUUGGACAAUUGGAGGGGACGUUAUCGGCUUGGAUAGUUGGUGUGGUAACGGGUUAGCAAGGGGACGGUCCGUCGCUGGUGUGAGAGGAAGACCAGCCACGCUGGGACUGGGACACGGCCCCGACCCCUACGGGAGGCAGCAGUGGGGAAUUUUAGACAAUGGGGGCAACCCUGAUCCAGCCAUCCCGCGUGUGCGAUGAAGGCCUUCGGGUUGUAAAGCACUUUUGGCAGGAAAGAAACGUCGCGGGCUAAUACCCCGUGGAACUGACGGUACCUGCAGAAUAAGCACCGGCUAACUACGUG